AGAUGAGCAGUUUGUGUUUGGCUACACUUGAAAUGCCAUAUAGGAUGUUGGACUGGUGCCAGGAGUUAUGUAUAAGCGCUUUCAAGCCCAUCGCAGAGAAAAUAGCAACCAAAAUAACCUGUGCUCAUUAUUGAGAAGGGGCCAUGAGGCAACGUCCCGUCUGCUUGUGGUUAAACCUGCCACUGCUCUUAUUACUACUAUUAUUUUUCAGAAAGGAUAAGCAUGUCUAAAACCUGGGUGUCACAAAGUCAAGACGCAUGAGGGCCAGCUAUGCAGCAACCCAACGAUCUUUGGAGCCAGAAAUAACAAGUAAACUACCUCCAAGUUUUUGGAGGCCUGAAGUUGUUUUUUUUUUCUUUUUUUCUCUCUCUCUCUCUCUUUUUUUUUUUUUUUUGAGCUUUUUUUUUUUUUUAAGUAAAAUUUAUAAAUUUAUCAAGCAAAGGAAAUAUCCUUCUAAUUAUUUGAUUUACAUCAAGGCAUUCAACUUUCCAUUAUGUGAUGGGGGCCACGGGUUUUCCUGAAAACAAAAGUUUUAAAAAAUUGAGGAGCUGAAGGAAAAAUGACUUUUGUGUACAGCCCAUUAACUUCUGUGUGCUGAGCACACAGCCACUCCCACUGCGCAAACAGAAGAACUUUUAUGCCGCAUCGAAGCGGACCAGCCGAGGACUUGCACGAACAGCACACGCGGCUCUGAGGAUGGGACUUGCUCACCAGAAGCCAUGAAGAUGUCCUGGCAAUGGUGCUGUCCUACUUCUUCUCUUCACACUGCAAUGCUAUCCUGAUAGGAUUUGUUCCCUCCAAGAGAGCUGAAGCUGGAGAGUGUAUGUCUUUUAACAGAAACAUAUCAGAUUAAGAAUGUACAGCCUUCUUACUGUUGUCCUCUUUCCCUCCCGGGAGGAAGACUCCGGCCAGAGUAACUAUCUCACUUAUUUCACGGAUGUAUGUAAAAGGACAAAUAAAAGCUCCACAUUCUUUACUGUCCUCCUCCUCCCAACUGCCAAACUGUGACCCAGCGAGCCUCGUCUUUGCAUUAUUUCACACAAACUGCUGCUAUAAACAUUUCCAAAGCUAACCUCUCCCAUCUCUUAUUCCAAGCUGACUGCCUCUCCUCUCAAGCCAACUUCAACUUAGCGCUUCAUCAUGAGAACACAGUCCAGUGCUCAGCAAUGCAUGUCACCAUGGUCUUUCUGGGCUGGACAGAAGCCUAAUGGGUACACUGUGGUGAGAUCAUGAGCUAGGAAAGGGGUUGUUUUGACAGUUGAAAAUUUCUGGCAAAUACAUCCCAGGCAGAAAACAAAUUGUGUGCUUCCAGAAAGAUAUAUACAAACCAAACCAUCUGCAAAGGCACAGGUAGUGUUGUUAGUUCUUGCCAGGGAACAGGAACUGUCUGUGGCGAGUGCUGUCAGGAAAUUAGUACCAGAACAAAGUGUGACAGAUGCAAUGCGUUACUGGGGCAGGAACUAAUUCAAAUUCCAGCUCCUUUUUUUUUUUUUCUUUUUUCUUUUUUUUUUUUCU
ensembl:lncRNA